UAGGGAAUCUUCGGCAAUGGACGAAAGUCUGACCGAGCAACGCCGCGUGAGUGAAGAAGGUUUUCGGAUCGUAAACUCUGUUGUUAGAGAAGAACGUUGCAUAGAGUGGAAAAUUAUGCAAGUGACGGUAUCUAACCAGAAAGGGACGGCUAACUACGUGCCAGCAGCCGCGGUAAUACGUAGGUCCCGAGCGUUGUCCGGAUUUAUUGGGCGUAAAGCGAGCGCAGGUGGUUUAAUAAGUCUGAUGUAAAAGGCAGUGGCUCAACCAUUGUGUGCAUUGGAAACUGUUAGACUUGAGUGCAGUAGAGGAGAGUGGAAUUCCAUGUGUAGCGGUGAAAUGCGUAGAUAUAUGGAGGAACACCGGUGGCGAAAGCGGCUCUCUGGACUGUCACUGACACUGAGGCUCGAAAGCGUGGGUAGCAAACAGGAUUAG
rnacentral:rRNA from 1 species